UGCUUACUCCAUGCUCAGCACCUUUAAAACUCUUAUUAGGUGUUUUGACUUGAUGUGUACUGUGACAUCACAGAGCUGGUGCAGCCAGGAACCCAGCUUUGUAGAUGGAGAGAGUGAAUCGUAGAGGCAAGAAGCCUAUAAGGAGGAGCAAUCAGACAUACAAGACAUGAAGGGAUCCAAAGUCACAGGUAGACCAGAAUCCAAAAGACAUGGCGAGGAAUGUGCGUACAUCAGAUUAUCCAGCUGUUGAGAAGUCUCGACAGGAAAGGCGCUUUCGGACAAGCCUGAUGACCUGAGUUCAAUCCUGGAUCUCGUGUGCGGGAGGAAGAGAACUGACUCAUCUGAUGAGGAAAUUCCAGAAGCUUUUAAU
rnacentral:lncRNA from 1 species